rnacentral:lncRNA from 1 species
CAGAUCUUAAAUCCAGCUUAGAGAAUACCUUAGCCUCCCCAACUCAUCCAGUAAUUCCUUAAUUAUAGGGAUGGAAAACUUAUCUUUGAUGGUAUGCUGAUUAGUUGCCUAUAAUCAACACAUAACCUCCAACUUUCAUAUUUAUUUUUGACCAUCACAAUCGAGAAAGUAAAUGAGCUAUUGUUGUCUCUGAUUAUUCCACCUUGAAGCAUCUCAUGUAUCAUAUUCUCCAUCUCCCAUUUUUGGACAACAUGAUAUUUGUAUGGUCGAAUGUUAACCACAGCUCCCCCAUAUUUCAAAGGAAUUUUAUGGUCUUACAUUUGAGGUGGUGACAAUCCCCUUGGUGUUUGGAAGACAUCAACAAAUUCAUCCAACAAGCAUUGAAGUUGUUGAUCAUUAGAAGUAGACACUUUUGCUGAGAGAACAAUUUGAGUAGGAGAGCUUAUCACCAAGGCACAGGGUCGUAAUUCUUGACCAAUAGUAGCAAAACACUUGUGAGCAGAACCAAUACUCUCCUCAGUUAUUGAACCAGAGAUAAUUCCAUGAAUAAAGUAUGGUUCUUCCUUAACAAAAAAAUUGUAUGGUUAAAGAGCCAAAAUUCCAAAUGAUAUCUCCUAAAACUAACGACCACUGAACUCCCAACACCAUAUCACACCCUCUAAAUGGGAUUACCAUGAAAUUCGUAUUGAACUGAGAGCCUUGGACUUUCUAUCUGACACCCUUACACACUUCCCUAGUAAAUAAACAGUUGCCAUUUGCUACAGUGACCUUCAACUGAUCCUGUUGCAACACAGAAAGUGACAAC